UGUCCGUGGCCUGGGUAGAGUGGCACCUGGUUUGGUGGUGCUUCUCUCACAUCAGCCAGGGACAAAGUAACUCCUUGUUUAUCCCAGCUUGGCUUUUGGUCUGUGCCCAUGCCUGCUUUAUGCCCUGGACACAUGA
ensembl:snoRNA